UACGAGGGGGGCAAGCGUUGUUCGGAAUUACUGGGCGUAAAGGGCGCGUAGGCGGCCUGCUAAGUCGAACGUGAAAUCCCUGGGCUCAACCCAGGAACUGCGUCCGAUACUGGUUUGGCUUUGAAUCCGGGAGAGGGAUGUGGAAUUCCAGGUGUAGCGGUGAAAUGCGUAGAUAUCUGGAGGAACACCGGUGGCGAAGGCGACAUCCUGGACCGGUAUUUGACGCUGAGGCGCGAAAGCCAGGGGAGCAAACGGG
rnacentral:rRNA from 1 species